UUUUAGCAGGGAAGAAGCGAAAGUGACGGUACCUGCCAGAAAAAAGCACCCGGCUUAAUUACGUGCCAGCAGCCGCCGUAAUACGUAGGGUGCAAGCGUUAUCCGGAAUUAUUGGGCGUAAAGAGCUCGUAGGCGGUCUGUCGCGUCUGCUGUGAAAUCCUGAGGCUCAACCUCGGGCUUGCAGUGGGUACGGGCAGACUAGAGUGCGGUAGGGGAGAUUGGAAUUCCUGGUGUAGCGGUGGAAUGCGCAGAUAUCAGGAGGAACACCGAUGGCGAAGGCAGAUCUCUGGGCCGUAACUGACGCUGAGGAGCGAAAGGGUGGGGAGCAAACAGGCUUAGAUACCCUGGUAGUCCACCCCGUAAACGUUGGGAACUAGUUGUGGGGUCCUUUCCACGGAUUCCGUGACGCAGCUAACGCAUUAAGUUCCCCGCCUGGGGAGUACGGCCGCAAGGCUAAAACUCAAAGGAAUUGACGGGGACCCGCACAAGCGGCGGAGCAUGCGGAUUAAUUCGAUGCAACGCGAAGAACCUUACCAAGGCUUGACAUACACGAGAACGGGCCAGAAAUGGUCAACUCUUUGGACACUCGUGAACAGGUGGUGCAUGGUUGUCGUCAGCUCGUGUCGUGAGAUGUUGGGUUAAGUCCUGCAUCGAGACCAACCCUCGUUCUAUGUUGCCAGCACGUAAUGGUGGGAACUCAUGCCCUCCUACCGGGGUCAACUCCGAGGAAGGCGGGGAUGACGUCCUAUCAUCAUGCCCCUUACGUUGUGGGCUUCACGCAUGAUACAAUUCGCCGGCACAAUGGGCUGCAAUACCGUAAUGAGUGGAGCGAAUCCCCAAAAGUCGGUGCCCCGUUCGUCUAGAGGUAUNNNACUCGACCUCAUGAAGUCGGAGUCGC
rnacentral:rRNA from 1 species